rnacentral:rRNA from 1 species
UGCAGUCGAACGGCAGCAUGAUCUAGCUUGCUAGAUUGAUGGCGAGUGGCGAACGGGUGAGUAAUACAUCGGAACGUGCCCUGUAGUGGGGGAUAACUAGUCGAAAGAUUAGCUAAUACCGCAUACGACCUGAGGGUGAAAGUGGGGGACCGCAAGGCCUCAUGCUAUAGGAGCGGCCGAUGUCUGAUUAGCUAGUUGGUGAGGUAAAGGCUCACCAAGGCGACGAUCAGUAGCUGGUCUGAGAGGACGAUCAGCCACACUGGGACUGAGACACGGCCCAGACUCCUACGGGAGGCAGCAGUGGGGAAUUUUGGACAAUGGGGGCAACCCUGAUCCAGCAAUGCCGCGUGUGUGAAGAAGGCCUUCGGGUUGUAAAGCACUUUUGUCCGGAAAGAAAUCGCACUUACUAAUAUUAGGUGUGGAUGACGGUACCGGAAGAAUAAGGACCGGCUAACUACGUGCCAGCAGCCGCGGUAAUACGUAGGGUCCAAGCGUUAAUCGGAAUUACUGGGCGUAAAGCGUGCGCAGGCGGUUGUGCAAGACCGAUGUGAAAUCCCCGGGCUUAACCUGGGAAUUGCAUUGGUGACUGCACGGCUAGAGUGUGUCAGAGGGGGGUAGAAUUCCACGUGUAGCAGUGAAAUGCGUAGAGAUGUGGAGGAAUACCGAUGGCGAAGGCAGCCCCCUGGGAUAACACUGACGCUCAUGCACGAAAGCGUGGGGAGCAAACAGGAUUAGAUACCCUGGUAGUCCACGCCCUAAACGAUGUCAACUAGUUGUUGGGGGUUCAUUUCCUUAGUAACGUAGCUAACGCGUGAAGUUGACCGCCUGGGGAGUACGGUCGCAAGAUUAAAACUCAAAGGAAUUGACGGGGACCCGCACAAGCGGUGGAUGAUGUGGAUUAAUUCGAUGCAACGCGAAAAACCUUACCUACCCUUGACAUGCCACUAACGAAGCAGAGAUGCAUUAGGUGCUCGAAAGAGAAAGUGGACACAGGUGCUGCAUGGCUGUCGUCAGCUCGUGUCGCGAGAUGUUGGGUUAAGUCCCGCAACGAGCGCAACCCUUUUCCUUAUUUGCCAGCACUUCGGGUGGGAACUUUAAGGAUACUGCCAGUGACAAACUGGAGGAAGGCGGGGACGACGUCAAGUCAUCAUGGCCCUUACGGCCAGGGCUACACACGUGCUACAAUGGUCGGUACAAAGGGUUGCUACACAGCGAUGUGAUGCUAAUCUCAAAAAGCCGAUCGUAGUCAGGAGUUGGAGUCUGCAACUCGACUCCAUGAAGUCGGAAUCGCUGUAAUCGCGGAUC